CAAUAGCGUAUAUUAAAGCUGUUGCGGUUAAAAAGCUCGUAGUUGGAUUUCUGUCAAGGACAACUGGUCCGCCCUCCGGGUGAGCACAUAGUUUGGUCUUGACAUCUUGCUGGAAGCUGUUGCUGCACUUGGCUGUGUGGCGCAGUGUUCAGCACUUUCACUUUGAGGAAAUUGGAGUGUUUCAAGCAGGCACAUGCCUUUGGACACAGUAGCAUGGAAUAAUUAGAUUGGGCUUUUGCUCCAAUUUGUCGGUUCCUGGAGCUGAGGUGAGUAUUAAUGGGGAUUGUUGGGGGCAUCCGAAUUUAGCCGUCAGAGGUGAAAUUCUUGGAUCUGCUAAAGACGGACAACUGCGAAAGCGUUUGCCCAGGAUGUUUUCAUUGA
rnacentral:rRNA from 1 species